rnacentral:misc_RNA from 1 species
GAUGAAGAACGUAGCGAAAUGCGAUACGUAAUGUGAAUUGCAGAAUUCAGUGAAUCAUCGAAUCUUUGAACGCAUAUUGCGCUCUCUGGUAUUCCGGAGAGCAUGCUUGUUUGAGUAUCAGUAAACACCUCAACUUCCAUAUCUUUUUUGAAAUGGGAGUUGGACUUGAGUGAUCCCAACGCUUUUCCUCACCGAAAAGUGGCGGGUUACUUGAAAUGCAGGUGCAGCUGGACUUUUCUCUGAGCUAUAAGCAUAUCUAUUUAGUCUGCCUAAAAAACAGAUUAUUACCUUUGCUGCAGCUAACUUAAAGGAGAUUAGUUCUUGUGCUGACUGAUGCAGGAUUCACAAAGACGGCUUCGGCCGACUUUGUAAACUCGAUCUCAAAUCAAGUAAGACUACCCGCUGAACUUAAGCAUAUCAAUAAGCGGAGGA